GGCUGUUGCCCCAUGCUGCAGUUCCAUAGCUAAGAGUUCUGCCUUCUAUUUUUCCACCAUGACAGCCUGGGUUUGGUGCCUAAAUCAAGCCCUUUCUGUUUGGAUACUUGGCACUUCUGAAACAGCAGCAAUUUGUCCGAGCUGAAAUAUGGUUCUUGUGACAUUGAGCUACAAGGAUUUGACUCCUGAGUCUCAAAAGGACACCAAGUACUGCCAAAUCUCAAACUCUGACAGCAAUUAAAGCCUCAUCUGCAGGCCCUGUAGAAGAUGCCAAUCAAAAUAAACUGUGUUCCUGAGACACAGGGGCAGAAAUUAAAGCUAUUCAACUCCUCAAGGCCAAGGGAUUAUCAUG
rnacentral:lncRNA from 10 species